GAAUCCCGCUUCCUGAGUCUGUGUUUGCCUGUGUUUCUGUCCUGGAGUGUGUUUCCGGUGUCCUGGAACGCACCCUGUCUGGUUGCCGGGCGAAUUAGCUUGUUGGGAGAUCGAUGUUCACCCGCACCUGUAUCCCAUCAGUAAUCUGCACACCUGUCCUGAUCAUCACCUCUCCCCUUCAAAAGCUCUGACCUGACAUCCAUUCCCUGCCGGAUCGUUAGCCAUGAACACCAUUCACCCGGAACCCAUACCCCAUCCCUGUCUGCUCGUCGCCAGUGUGUUGUUAUCCAUUGGAUCUGCCUAUCCACUCCCAUCAACCCACCUCCGCUGCCCGCUCCUCCACCCGGAACUAUCUACCUCCACGUUCUCAUUGAUUAAUAAAUAUUCACCAUCUUUAUA